rnacentral:rRNA from 1 species
AUACGUAGGUGACAAGCGUUAUCCGGAUUUACUGGGCGUAAAGGGCGUGUAGGCGGUCUUGCAAGUCAGAAGUGAAAUUCCUGAGCUCAACUCGGGCGCUGCUUCUGAAACUGCAGGACUUGAGUGCUGGAGGGGAUAGCGGAAUUCCUAGUGGAGCGGUAAAAUGCGCAGAUAUUAGGAAGAACACCGGUGGCGAAGGCGGCAAUCUGGACAGUAACUGACGCUGAGGCGCGAAAGCGUGGGGAGCAAACAGGAUUAGAUACCCUGGUAGUCCACGCUGUAAACGAUGAAUACUAGGUGUAGGGGGUAUCGACUCCCUCUGUGCCGCAGUUAACACAAUAAGUAUUCCGCCUGGGGAGUACGGCCGCAAGGUUGAAACUCAAAUGAAUUGACGGGG